rnacentral:rRNA from 1 species
UACGUAGGUGGCAAGCGUUGUCCGGAUUUACUGGGCGUAAAGCGCGCGCAGGCGGUCGUUCAAGUCGAGUGUGAAAGCCCCCGGCUCAACUGGGGAGGGUCACUCGAUACUGAUCGACUUGAAGGCAGAAGAGGGAAGCGGAAUUCCCGGUGUAGUGGUGAAAUGCGUAGAUAUCGGGAGGAACACCAGUGGCGAAGGCGGCUUUCUGGUCUGUUCUUGACGCUGAGGCGCGAAAGCUAGGGUAGCAA